CCUACGGGAGGCAGCAGUAGGGAAUCUUCCACAAUGGGCGCAAGCCUGAUGGAGCAACACCGCGUGAGUGAAGAAGGGUUUCGGCUCGUAAAGCUCUGUUGUUGGAGAAGAACGUGCGUGAGAGUAACUGUUCACGCAGUGACGGUAUCCAACCAGAAAGUCACGGCUAACUACGUGCCAGCAGCCGCGGUAAUACGUAGGUGGCAAGCGUUAUCCAGAUUUAUUGGGCGUAAAGCGAGCGCAGGCGGUUGCUUAGGUCUGAUGUGAAAGCCUUCGGCUUAACCGAAGAAGUGCAUCGGAAACCGGGCAACUUGAGUGCAGAAGAGGACAGUGGAACUCCAUGUGUAGUGGUGGAAUGCGUAGAUAUAUGGAAGAACACCAGUGGCGAAGGCGGCUGUCUGGUCUGCAACUGACGCUGAGGCUCGAAAGCAUGGGUAGCGAACAGGAUUAGAUACCCGAGUAGUC
rnacentral:rRNA from 1 species